CAGUCGCCACGGUAAUACGAGGGGGGCAAGCGUUGUUCGGAAUUAUUGGGCGUAAAGGGUGCGUAGGCGACUUGACAAGUCUUGUGUGAAAUCUGUGGGCUCAACCCAUAGUCUGCACGGGAAACUGUCGGGCUUGAGAAUGGGAGAGGUGAGUGGAAUUUCCGGUGUAGCGAUGAAAUGCGUAGAUAUUGGGAAGAACACCAGUGGCGAAGGCGGCUCACUGGACCGACACUGACGCUGAGGCGCGAAAGCGUGGGGAGCAAACAGGAUUAGAUACCCCUGUAGUCCCUGUCUCUUAUAC
rnacentral:rRNA from 1 species